rnacentral:rRNA from 1 species
CAGUAGCCGCGGGAAUACGAGGGGGGCAAGCGUUGUUCGGAAUUAUUGGGCGUAAAGGGUGCGUAGGCGGUCUGAUAAGUCUGAUGUGAAAUCUAUGGGCUCAACCCAUAGUCUGCAUUAGAAACUGUCGGGCUUGAGUAUGGGAGAGGUGAGUGGAAUUUCCGGUGUAGCGGUGAAAUGCGUAGAUAUCGGAAGGAACACCUGUGGCGAAAGCGGCUCACUGGACCAUUACUGACGCUGAUGCACGAAAGCUAGGGGAGCAAACAGGAUUAGAGACCCCCGUAGUCCCUGUCUCUUAUAC